UUGCACGCUGGCGGCAGGCCUCACCCCUGCCAGUCGAGCGGAUGAAGGGAGCUUGCUCCUGGAUUCAGCGGCGGACGGGUGAGUAAUGCCUAGGAAUCUGCCUGGUAGUGGGGGAUAACGUCCGGAAACGGGCGCUAAUACCGCAUACGUCCUGAGGGAGAAAGUGGGGGAUCUUCGGACCUCACGCUAUCAGAUGAGCCUAGGUCGGAUUAGCUAGUUGGUGGGGUAAAGGCCUACCAAGGCGACGAUCCGUAACUGGUCUGAGAGGAUGAUCAGUCACACUGGAACUGAGACACGGUCCAGACUCCUACGGGAGGCAGCAGUGGGGAAUAUUGGACAAUGGGCGAAAGCCUGAUCCAGCCAUGCCGCGUGUGUGAAGAAGGUCUUCGGAUUGUAAAGCACUUUAAGUUGGGAGGAAGGGCAGUAAGUUAAUACCUUGCUGUUUUGACGUUACCAACAGAAUAAGCACCGGCUAACUUCGUG
rnacentral:rRNA from 1 species